CAGUAGACUUGUUUCGCUCAGUGGAGCCCCAGUUAGAGACAGAUAUGAUACCUGCAGUGAUUUUCAUGAUCCUAUUCUGGAGCACAGAUCUCCAGGCUCAAAGCGUCAGUCCACCAGCUGAACUCUCAGUCAGACUGGUGGAUGGGACCACUUCCUGUUCUGGGACAGUGGAAGUCUUCUACAGAGGAGAGUGGUUGGGUCUAUGUUUUAGGUGGUGGGACAUGAUGAGAGAGGUUAAGGUUGUGUGUAGACAGCUGGACUGUGGGAAUCCUGUAUCUGUAUCUAGAGGACCUCUGAUUGAAGAUGGAAGAAGAGGAGUCACACUAUAUAGUAGUUGCUAUGGAGAUGAGUCUUCUAUUAGACAGUGUGACAUCAUAGAAGGACCUGGUGGCUGUAAUGGUGAAUAUUAUCGUCAUGUGACCUGUUCAGGUAAGAGACUGGUCACAUUGACAGAUUUAUUUAUACAUUAUACAAUAUUACCAUGUAUUGUGUUUUA